GAGAUGCAACUCUCUCAAUGAUGGAAACAAUGCUAAAUCUGGUAAUGGCCCUCUCAUUUGGUUAUCAGACAAGUCUAGAUACUCAAGGCUCGAAACUUGUCCAAAUCUUUCCAUGAAAAAACCAUUCAGCACAUUUUUCUGCAGGUAUAAUCUCUUUAAGGCUGAAAAUCUUGUGACAUUAACCAAUGAACCAAACAUUGAGUUGUCGUUCAACCCCAAAACCUCAAGUGUUUUCCUACUGCCUGAUAACCUGAGAAACAACUCAGGAAGCCAUUGGUAUGUCCGAGUGUCAGACAUGUCCAGAUAACGUAAACGUGUCAAAUUGCCAAAAGAACUUGGAAUCCCACCUUUAAGAUUAAACUCAUUUGCAAGAUUAAGAUGUUCAAGAUGCAUCAAGUUCCCAAAUCGAUCAUCAAUUUGACCGUCUAGCUGAUUAUUGGAGAGGUCUAUACUAGUUAAGCUUGUGCUAAAAUUGAAUAACCAGCUAUAUUUAGCUGAAGAAGAAAACUCAUUACAACAUAAAUGAAGAACAGAAAGAGAGAUCAAAGAAGAAUUGGCUAUUUCAGCUGGAGAUGGAACCAAUUUAGAGAGUCCACAAAGACUCAAGUCAAGUUCUUUCAAUAAAGGGAGCUUAGUUAUCUCUUGAAACCAAUUCUUUACUUGGAAGUCACUACCACCUAGACUCAAUAACUCUAGAGAAGAGAGAUGAGAAAGCCAUCUAAGGUCCUUUACUAUAAGAUUAUUAUAUCCAAGAUCAAGAAUCCUCAAUGAAGUUAGAUUCUUGAACUGUGUAGGAAUUAAACCAGAAAGAAAGGAAGAUGAGAGGUUCAAAUACUCUAGUCUCUUAAAGGAGCAUAUGAAUCUUGGUAUUUCACUUCUUUCAAAAUCAUUCACACUAAGGUCCAAGAAAUUCAAAUACUCCAACUCAAGUAAAGAAGGACUAAGUUUACCUGUCAAUCUUGGAGCAAAACAAGCACUAGCAGAACAAGUAAAGGCAUUGUGAAGAUCAAGAACAAUUACAUGACCAGUUGUUUUGUUACAUUCAAUACCUUUCCAUUUGCAGCAUUCUUUUUUAUCUUCUUCAUCACCCCAUGUUGAUAAUUGACCAAAAUUAUCAUUAAGGCCUCUUUUGAACUCAAGAAGAGCAUCUCUCUCCUUUUCUAUACACAGAGUCAAUCCAAAAGCUGCUUGUAGGAGCAGUAAAGACAAAGUAACAAGGAAAUGAGCUGAACUUGGAUAUUCCCUUUUGCCCAUUGUUCAAGAAGCAACUAAAUGUUAUGUGUUUUUUUUUUCUUUUCUUUUUGAAAUCUUUAGCUUAUCCUGAACUAACUUUCAAGAAUGUGCAAGGAAAUGUAUGUAGGUGUCUUGCUAGGAAAUUUAAUGCUCGACUAUCCGAGUAAUAUGUUGUCUUCAAACCCAAUUUGAAGAUUAGAAAAGGACUAUUCAGGAAUAAAUUAUACUACAGAUUUUAUUAAAUAUUUGAUAUAAGAAACAAGUGGCCCCACCUUGAGAAGAAAAAGAUCAAAAGAGAAAUGAUUGAUUACAUCUGAUUUUCUCCGAUAAGCAAGUUGUAGUACUGGAGAUGAGUCAAGAAAGACGGGCUAGUUGAGUUUGUACCAAAAUACUGUAAUAAGAAAAGGAAAAUGUGAGAGGCAGUGGAAUUGGAAGAUACUAAGGAAAGCCAUCUUGGAAAUGGAUUUGGAUGUAAUUGGGUAUAAUUAUACAAUUUGACAUGUUUAUUUGGCCAAGUAAUUACUUGGUCAGCAUGAAAUUGAGUGUAAUUACACUCUCCAACUCUCAAGGGGAGGUGAGAAUUGAUAGUAAUUACACUGUGUAAUUACAAGGUUGUUUUUUAGUUUCUUUCCUUUUUGUUUUUAUUUUAAUUUAUUUUCUUUAUAACUUUUUAUUUCUAUUAUUUUAACUUUUUAAUUUUAUUUUUACUUUUUAAUUUCUUUUGAAAUUUUAAAAUAUAUUUUCUUUGUACAUUAUUUAUCUUUUAUUUCUCUAUCUUUACUUCUCGUGAUUCCAUAUAAUUGCUUACUAUAUUUUAUUUUUUAUUUAUUUUAUUAUUUUGCUUUUUUAAACUACAUCUCGUAAUAUUAGAAAUAAUGAGUCAUUAACAAACUUGAUAUAAUGAGUGAUGCAAUUAAAGUGAAAUUUCGUUAUUAAAUGUGGUUAUAAACUUAUCAUGUUUCCUAGUUAUUAAGUUGCAACUUACUAUUAUUAUGUUGGAAUUUGACAUAUGUUAAACUAAUUUUUUUUUUUUUUUAAUUUUGAAAUUGUGUUAUAUUCGUGGUUCAAAUUUACUUAUUUUAGUAGUAUUGGCUCACAUUGAAUGUUGUUCAUUUUUUAGCUAGAUUUGAUAGAUUAGUUUUGUCAAACAUUUGAAUAAUGUUAUGACAUUAAAUUUGUAAAUUAAUUUAUUUUAUCAAACAUGAAUUCCAUGAUGUUCUUACAAAACGUAUAUUUUUUUAUUUUUGUAAGUAUCUAAACUAAAUAUUAUUAAUUUAAAAAAUAUAUAUAAAUUACAGUAUUAAUUAUAAAUAUACGAUUACUAAAUUAAUGUAUAUUCACGAAAAAAUAUACAUUAUAUUAACUUUUAAGUUUUGAUAAUUAUUUAAUUUAAAAUUUAAUCUAACUGUGUAAUUACACUUGUGCAACCAAACAGUAAACUUGUAAUUACACUAUGACAAACAAACAGGUUAUCGUAAUUACACAACUGUGUAAUUACCUCUAUUUUAAAAGGUAGAAUUGGGACUCGCCCUAGGGCAGUGCACUCGUAAAACGCCCCUGGGCUUAUAUGUGGGGUUUAGUUCCGUGAGACUUACGCAACGCCUUACGUAUUGGGCUCGCCUCAUAGAACUUUAUGCAAUUAUAUGCAACUAACCUUGUAAAUCCUCAAAUUUUCUUAAUAAAUCGUUAACUAUUCAAAAUUACUUUUUUCUUAAUCAUAAAUCAUUAACAUCAAGUCUUAGGCUAAUUUUCAGCAAGUAGGAGCAGUAAAGACAAAGUAACAAGGAAAUGAGCUAAACUUGGAUAUUUCCUUUUGCCCAUUGUUCUUUACUACAAGCAAGAAGCAACUAAAAGUUUUCUUUUUUCUUUUUGGAAAUCUUUAGCUUAUUUUAUAUAAAUAUAAAUAUAUAUACACACACAUAUUCUUGCAUGCAUGCAUCAAUUUCCGAGAUAACUUUAUGUAUGCGUCUUGCUAGGAAAUUGAAUUCUUGACCAUCCAAGUAGUAAGUUGUUUUCAAACCCAAUAAAUUAAAGAUUAAAAAAAGACUCUUCAGGAAUAAAUUAUACUACUACUGAUUUUAUUAAAUAUUCUUUAAUAAAAGAACCAAUUAAAUUUUGACAUAAGAAAAAAGCGACCCCACCUUGAGAAGGAAAAAAAAUCAAAAGAGAAAUGAUUUAUUACAUCUGAUUUUCUCCCACUUUGACUAGUAAGCAUACGCAAGUAGUAGUACUCGAGUUUGAGUCAAAGAAGAGGGGCUAGUUGAGUUUUAUCCCAAAAUACUACUAUAUCUUUUUGUUAGGACCGAAAAGUUUUAGGUGUCACGCGGAAUCUUACAAAACAAACCUUCAGCCACGAUAAAUCAGACAACAAAAGAGAAAUAUAUCAAAAGAGACACAAACAAUAUUUAACGUGAUUUGGCCAAUUGAUCUACAUUCACGGACGGAGAUGAGCAAUUCACUAUAUAAAAAGAGAGUAUAAAAUAUCGAGAGAACAACCUCACGAAGAGACAAACACAAGUGACACACUAACACUUGUCCCAUAACGUUCUCCCUUUAAACACGACUCUCAAACCACAUAUGGCUACAUUGUGGAUGCUGCUGAAUGAAAAGGACGAAUCUUCAAUUUAUAAAACUCAAAACUUUUUCCCACAAGAAAAGAGACUAGCCAAAUAUUGAAAAAGUAUACUUUCCCUCAAGUAAAAGAAAAACUCAAUUAUGGUAAAUAUGUUGUCCUUUCCUUCACGGGAUAGGAAAACCAAUUAUGAUAAAAAAAAAAUCUGGACAAACACCUAACAUCUUUGGCAUAUCCAUUAAGGAAAUAUGAACUCCUAAAGAAAAAAAGAUUAUUCACUAAAUUAAUCUUAAUAAUUAUUACCUUGACAUAUUGGAAUAUGUAAAUAAGGGCAAAUUAGAAAAAAUAAAAUUAAUACAUUCUUGAUUAUGUAAAUGGACACCUAUUUUGGACCAAACUAAAUGGACCGGAGGUAUAAUAAACAAAGGAAAAUAGGUGUUGCUACACUUAUUACAAAGCUUGUGGUCACCCCAGACAUUAAAUAGGUGUAUAUCAGUGGUGUGAAUGUGAUAUCUGAAGUUUUUCAUCCAAUAUAGUCUAAGAUAACAUAUUUAUAUACCCAUAUGACUGAGAUGAAGGGGUCGAAGUUUGUACUCACUAUAUAGACAAGUACAGAAGCUAAGGACGACAAAUAUCCUGUAAACAUACAACACGGUCACUUAAUUUUAACAAGAACAAAGAUCCAUAAAUCUUUAUCUGCUUUUGUUUCUUCUAGAAUUGUCAUUCUUGAUAUGAACAAAGAUCCAUGAAUGAUAGUGUUGUAUGGAUAUGCUCCAUUUGAAGGACUGAAGCUGGACCAACAAGAAGAUGGAUAUCCCAACUUAGGAGACUUUCUAGUAAAUGGAGCAGCAACAAUAAACACUGAGAAGACAUGUACAAUGAAGAGAUACACAGAGUUGUACUUGCAUGUUUUAUUAAUAAAAUAAUCUUUCUUUACAUUUGUCUUGUGAUGAUUGCAGUUAUUAAUUUCUGUAUACUAAAUUUGCCGUGAAUAGGAAGCUCAUCAAACUAAUAUGAUUGGUGGAAUAUGCCAAAAUGCCUAUGAUUCGAGUGAAAUGGAAAAUGCUAUCUAAACAUAUGUCUACCACUGGUACAGUUCAGCACUACCCAAUUUUUAAUACUUGAGCAUUCUCUCUUCAGAAAUGGAACUUCUAUAUUUCCUCGGUUAUAUUUUGUUUAAGUCUAGCUUUCACCAAGAUGCAAAUGAAACAUUAGAAAUCCAACAACAAGAGAUUUACUCAUACACACCACAACAAGAGAAUAGGAACUCGUAACGGAGGAAAUCAAGUAAACAGGCACAUUGGAACAUUAUGGUUAUGAGGCCCUUAGCUUUCCCUUCAGUAUUGCAAAGCAGACUCUUGAUAUCAUAUUGAGCCAAUUCUUCGAGUCCAUUAGAAUGUGAAGUAGGCAUUCCUCCAAGAACGGUUGACAAUUAAAGAGCCCAAGAUUCCCCAAAAUGCAACAAAGAAACCCAACACCAUGGAUAUAUAAAACUCUAGAGAUGGAAAAUCCUCACCAUCAUCAUCAUGUUCUUGGGGAUUCAUGUUACUGCUAUGAUCGAUACGUGGACUAGGAGGUGCAUAUCCGGGACAUUCUUGGAGAGGAGGGCCGCAGAGUUGAGCAUUACCACUAUAUGAUGAACUCUCAAAAGUUUGGAGUUGAGUGCUUGAUGGAAUUCUUCCUGAUAAGUGGUUGUUUGACAAGUCCAACACACUAAGAAAAGUCAAAUUAGCAAGGCCCUUAGGUAUCAUACCAGAAAGCUGGUUUCUUGAAAUGUCAAGUGACUCCAACAUCUUCAUUUGACCUAUUCCUUCAGUGAUACUUCCAUUCAGAUCAUUUCUUGAAAGGUUCAAAGAUUUCAAUCCUCUCAUUUCAGCUAUCUCUCUAGGAAUACCUCCGACCAAUUUAUUACUUGAAAGAUCAAUAGUCUUCAGAUAUAAUAAAGGAUUCUUGUACUCGGCCUCCUGGUUUUUCCAUUGAACCAAUAAAUUGCCUAUGUACAAGUAUGAACGAGGCAUAUAGUCAAACUGGACUAAAAAAUCCAUCGACUCACCAGAACCAUUUUCUUGAUGCAAUAUAGUAAAAUUGUUGAAGCAUUGUGGAAUUUUCCCAGAUAAUCCAUUUGCUGAAAGGUCCAGUAUCUGAAGAAAUUGAAGCUGACAAAUGAUCGAUGGAAUGCUACCAUAGAAUUUGUUGAACCGUAGGCUUAGAAUACGCAAGUUGAGUAGAUCAGUACCUAUCCAUGCUGGGAUUCUUCCUGUCAACUUAUUCCCUCCAAGAUCCAAGAUUUGCAAUAAUUGACACUGUGAGAAAGAAGGCAACAUCCCGCUAAAACUGUUCUGGCGUAUGUAUAAUGCCUUCAAAUUUUCCAAGGAACUUAAUGACUGUGGAAGUUUUCCAGAGAAAUUGUUAUAGGCUAGAUUAAGAACAGCUAGAUUACUCAUAUUCAUCCAACAAUCAGGAAGUUCUCCUGAAAAUUGGUUGUGUGACAAGUCAAGGGAAGUGGCACCUCCUGUUGUACUUUUACAAAUGGAAGAAGUGGAUCCGGAAAACUUAUUUUUAUGUAGGUAAAAUAUUCGCACAUUGGUAGGAACUUGUGGCAAAGGUCCUGAAAAGUUGUUAGAACUUAAAUCUAUAACCAUGUAGUCUUGUUUAUUCACUAUCAACUCAGAAACUCUUCCACUGAUCUGGUUGUUAGAGAGAUUCAGAAUCUUUAAAUUGAGAGGAAGAUCAGAGAACCAACUUGGUAGCGCAUCUGAUAGAUUUGCAAGCGAGAUAUCAAGAACAGUAUAGUUGUUUUGACUUUGAAGCCACUUGGGGAAAGAAGGUCCCAAAUUGCAAGAUGGAAGGUUUAUAAUUUGAAGCUGAAAAGGAGGAAGCCAAUCGAAGCUCGUCUUCAAAGCCAAAGAGUUGAAUGAUAAGUCCAAAUCCACUAAACUGGAGAGGUUUGAAAGGUGGGACUCAGUGAUUGUACCCUUCAGGACAUUGUAAGAGGCAUCAAGACUUUCCAAGUUUGAUAGUUGUCCCAUGCUUUCUGGUAAUCCUUCCAGUCUAUUGGACGAGACGUCCAAAAUUCUAAGCUGUGAAAGUUUUCCAAUACUUUGUGGUAUCCUCCCUUGAAAUUGAUUAGAUCCAAGAUGCAACUCUCUCAAUGAUGGAAACAAUGCUAAAUCUGGUAAUGGCCCUCUCAUUUGGUUAUCAGACAAGUCUAGAUACUCAAGACUCGAAACUUGUCCAAAUCUUUCCAUGAAAAAACCAUUCAGCACAUUGUUCUGCAGGUAUAAUCUCUUUAAGGCUGAAAAUCUUGUGACAUUAACCAAUGAACCAAACAUUGAGUUGUCGUUCAACCCCAAAACCUCAAGUGUUUUCCUACUGCCUGAUAACCUGAGAAACAACUCAGGAAGCCAUUGGUAUGUCCGAG
rnacentral:lncRNA from 1 species